UACGUAGGGUGCAAGCGUUGUCCGGAAUUAUUGGGCGUAAAGAGCUCGUAGGCGGUCUGUUGCGUCUGCUGUGAAAACCCGGGGCUUAACCCCUGGCUUGCAGUGGAUACGGACAGACUAGAGGUAGGUAGGGGAGAAUGGAAUUCCCGGUGUAGCGGUGAAAAUGCGCAGAUAUCGGGAGGAACACCGGUGGCGAAGGCGGUUCUCUGG
rnacentral:rRNA from 1 species